rnacentral:rRNA from 1 species
UACGGAGGGAGCAAGCGUUACUCGGAAUUACUGGGCGUAAAGCGUGCGUAGACGGUUGCGUAAGUCAGAUGUGAAAUCCCCGGGCUCAACCUGGGAACUGCAUUUGUGACUGCAUCGCUGGAGUGCGGCAGAGGGGGAUGGAAUUCCGCGUGUAGCAGUGAAAUGCGUAGAUAUGCGGAGGAACACCGAUGGCGAAGGCAAUCCCCUGGGCCUGCACUGACGCUCAUGCACGAAAGCGUGGGAGCAAACAGG